rnacentral:rRNA from 1 species
CCGCCGGCGACCGGCGCACGGGUGAGUAACGCGUAUGCAACCUGCCCGUUUCAGCGGGAUAACCCGGAGGAAAUCCGGCCUAAUACCGCAUGUGGCCGAGGGGAGGCAUCUUCUUUCGGCCAAAGGAGGCGACUCCGGAGACGGAUGGGCAUGCGUGACAUUAGCUAGUUGGCGGGGUAACGGCCCACCAAGGCGACGAUGUCUAGGGGUUCUGAGAGGAACGGUCCCCCACACUGGUACUGAGACACGGACCAGACUCCUACGGGAGGCAGCAG